rnacentral:rRNA from 1 species
UGAUGACGAGACGCUAAGGCGUUGAAGCAGUGUAUGUCAGACUUCCAAGAAAAGCUCGCAAUGUCACAAAUAAAAAUGCCUGUACCAUAACCGACACAGGUGGGUAGGUAGAGUAUACUAAGGGGCGCGAGAUAACUCUCUCUAAGGAACUCGGCAAAAUGACUCCGUAACUUCGGGAGAAGGAGUGCCUUAUUUAUAAGGUUGCAAUAACAAGAUCCAAGCAACUGUUUAUCAAAAACACAGGUCUCCGCUAAGUCGUAAGACGAUGUAUGGGGGCUGACGCCUGCCCAGUGCCAGAAGGUUAAAGAAGUUGGUUAGUGUAUGCGAAGCUGAUGACUGAAGCCCUGGUGAACGGCGGCCGUAACGAUAACGGUCCUAAGGUAGCGAAAUUCCUUGUCGGGUAAGUUCCGACCCGCACGAAAGGCGUAAUGAUUUGGAUACUGUCUCGGAGAGAGGCUCGGUGAAAUAGACUUGUCUGUGAAGAUGCGGACUACCUGCACCAGGACGGAAAGACCCUAUGAAGCUUUACUGUAACUUGAAAUUGGAAUUGGACUUUGCUUGCGCAGUAUAGGUGGGAAGCGUUGAAAAUAUUCUUGCGGGAGUAUUGGAGCUAUCAGUGAGAUACCACUCUUGUAAUGUUAGAUUUCUAACUUUGAACCAUAAUCUGGUCAAAGAACAGUUUCAGGUGGGCAGUUUGACUGGGGCGGUCGCCUCCCAAAUGGUAACGGAGGCGUACAAAGGUUUCCUCUGAACGGAUAGAAAUCGUAUCUAGAGUGUAAAGGCAUAAGGAAGCUUGACUGUGAGACCUACAAGUCGAGCAGGGACGAAAGUCGGUCUUAGUGAUCUGACGGUACUGAGUGGAAAGGCCGUCACUCAACGGAUAAAAGUUACUCUAGGGAUAACAGGCUGAUCUCCCCCAAGAGUUCACAUCGACGGGGAGGUUUGGCACCUCGAUGUCGCCUCAUCGCAUCCUGGGGCGGUAGUACGUCCCAAGGGUUGGGCUGUUCGCCCAUGAAAGCGGUACGCGAGCUGGGUUCAGAACGUCGUGAGACAGUUCGGUCCAUAUCCGGUGUAGGCGCUAGAAUAUUGAGAGGAGCCUUCUUUAGUACGAGAGGACCGAGAAGGACACACCGCUGGUGUACCAGUUAUCGUGCCAACGGUAAACGCUGGGUAGCUAUGUGUGGAGUGGAUAACCGCUGAAAGCAUCUGAGUGGGAAGCCCACCUCGAGAUGAGUAUUCUCA